rnacentral:rRNA from 1 species
AUGGCUGUCGUCAGCUCGUGUCGUGAGAUGUUGGGUUAAGUCCCGCAACGAGCGCAACCCUUGUCUUAUGUUGCCAGCACGUAAUGGUGGGGACUCGUAAGAGACUGCCGGGGUCAACUCGGAGGAAGGUGGGGACGACGUCAAGUCAUCAUGCCCCUUAUGUCCAGGGCUUCACACAUGCUACAAUGGCCAGUACAGAGGGCUGCGAGACCGUGAGGUGGAGCGAAUCCCUUAAAGCUGGUCUCAGUUCGGAUCGGGGUCUGCAACUCGACCCCGUGAAGUCGGAGUCGCUAGUAAUCGCAGAUCAGCAACGC